rnacentral:rRNA from 1 species
CACAGGUGCUGCAUGGCUGUCGUCAGCUCGUGUCGUGAGAUGUCGGUUAAGUCCGCUAACGAGCGCAACCCUCACUGUGUGUUAUAUGUGUCACACGGGACUGCCGGUUUUAAGCCGGAGGAAGGUGGGGAUGACGUCAAGUCAGCAUGGCCUUUAUAUCCUGGGCUACACACACGCUACAAUGGUCGGUACAAUAGGUUGCCAAGCCGCGAGGCGGAGCCAAUCCACAAAGCCGGCCUCAGUUCAGAUUGUAGGCUGCAACUCGCCUGCAUGAAGAUGGAGUUGCUAGUAACCGCAGGUCAGCAAUACUGCGGUGAAUACGUUCCCGGGUCUU